rnacentral:rRNA from 1 species
UUGAACGCUGGCGGCAGGCCUAACACAUGCAAGUCGAGCGGAUGAAGGGAGCUUGCUCCUGGAUUCAGCGGCGGACGGGUGAGUAAUGCCUAGGAAUCUGCCUGGUAGUGGGGGAUAACGUCCGGAAACGGGCGCUAAUACCGCAUACGUCCUGAGGGAGAAAGUGGGGGAUCUUCGGACCUCACGCUAUCAGAUGAGCCUAGGUCGGAUUAGCUAGUUGGUGGGGUAAAGGCCUACCAAGGCGACGAUCCGUAACUGGUCUGAGAGGAUGAUCAGUCACACUGGAACUGAGACACGGUCCAGACUCCUACGGGAGGCAGCAGUGGGGAAUAUUGGACAAUGGGCGAAAGCCUUAUCCAGCCAUGCCGCGUGUGUGAAGAAGGUCUUCGGAUUGUAAAGCACUUUAAGUUGGGAGGAAGGGCAGUAAGUUAAUACCUUGCUGUUUUGACGUUACCAACAGAAUAAGCACCGGCUAACUUCGUG